UAUACUAAGAAAACAAAUGCAUCUUGAUUAGAGUAUGAAAUGAGUUUAUCAUCCUUCUCUUCAAUUUUCUUUCAUUACAAGGAUGUGAUUGCAAUUGAAUUAUAAGUGUGUAUACAGAGCAGUUAGAAACACAAACCUAACCUGUAAUAACUCAAAAAUGACAUGCAAGAAUUAGAAUAAAUGGGACACUGUGCAUGUAAAAGUUGAAGGUUCAUUGAAUGAGUGUUUUCUGAAGGAGGAAGAGAAAAAUGUAGGAAUGUGUGUAACAAACAAAUGUUUAUACACAAGAAGACAUGUGGUGUCAGAACACUUGGCAUUCUAGCUUCCUCUCUCUAUAACUCUCACAACAAAAGAGGCAGCUAAUGUGGUUUGUACUUUCCUGUUCAGCUCAUUUUUAGGCGGAGAAUGGAACUUGUAAUUGAAUAGAUCAGGCAUAAUUAAAAGAGUUUGAGAAGUGUGACUAUAAUCUCUGAAGCAACUCUUUUCUUCAUUAUGACACCUCUAGAAAUACAAUUGAAUUGGACAUGCACAUUUGUUCCUUUUUUCCUAGGUAAGAUGUAAGAUACAACGUUUCACACUUGUGAAAAGUAGGUAACGCAGAAUUACUGCAUGCUGUCAUCUUAGAUCAAAUCUAAACACUUUAAGUUCCAUAAGUGUUGUAACCAUACUAUUAAGUUUAAAAUACUCAGUCCAAGCUUUCUCCUGUUAGACAUGAUAUAGUGGAUCAUUAUAAUAUUAGGAAAUUGGAGAAUCUUCUCCAAUCCAUUCAGGCUGAGAUCCUUGAAACUAAAAUUACAGGACCCAAUUGUUAUUGAGUUCAAUAACUUGGGAUUAUUUGCAAGCCCAAUACUGGAGAAAAAUAGGUUCUGUAUAUGGUCCAGAACCUGUUACCAAAUGAUUAGAGAUGGUGAAAAGAUACCAUCUUACAUUAGCCAUAGUAGAACUUUAUCUUGAUGCAGCACACCAG
rnacentral:lncRNA from 1 species